CUUGAACGCUGGCGGCAGGCUUAACACAUGCAAGUCGAACGAGUGGCGGACGGGUGAGUAAUGCUUGGGAAUCUGGCUUAUGGAGGGGGAUAACGACGGGAAACUGUCGCUAAUACCGCAUACCAUCGGAUGUGCCCAGAUGGGAUUAGCUAGUAGGUGGGGUAACGGCUCACCUAGGCGACGAUCCCUAGCUGGUCUGAGAGGAUGACCAGCCACACUGGAACUGAGACACGGUCCAGACUCCUACGGUAGGCAGAAGUGGGGAAUAUUGCACAAUGGGCGCAAGCCUGAUGCAGCCAUGCCGCGUGUAUGAAGAAGGCCUUCGGGUUGUAAAGUACUUUCAGCGAGGAGGCGUUACUCGCAGAAGAAGCACCGGCUAACUCCGUGCCAGCAGCCGCGGUAAUAC
rnacentral:rRNA from 1 species